rnacentral:lncRNA from 1 species
AAAUGUCAGAAAUGACACAUGCUGCAUGCUGGAGGAAAACCCCAUGUGGUUUCAAAGCCUGCUCUUCUGUGUGCUUCCAGGACCACUGUCUCAGGGGGCCUCUCACCCAACAACAGAGUUCUCCAGGACAGUCCUGUCUGCUUUCCCUGAUGGGAUCACAGUACUGUGAUGGGAUUACAGCUACGUUCUCAGGAUGAUCCAUUCUUCCAACCAUCCCCCAGGUUUGGACCCACAUGCCAGCAUCCCUCACCGCAGCCUCUGUGCUUCCUCACUCCCCGCCAAGGGAAAAAGCAACAACUGCAAGAACAAAACAGAUGGCGAGGCAACGAAACAUUAAACCCAAUCCCAAUACCUGAGCUGUACCAUGAAUAUUUCACUGAGGCAUGGGGUAGGAAAGACAACAAAAUGACCUUUUCUGGCAUCUUAAGGGAUAUCUAACCUUGUAAUUGCUACAGACAGAGGACACACAAGAUGGAGACCAAGACUAUUUAACAGCUGUGUAUAUUUUUUUUUUCAAAAUUAGUAUCUCAAUGUUCCCAUUAUAACCUGCCAAUAGGAAUGACAUUUACUCUUGCUCUGAGAAAUGAAAGAAACUCUAAAAGACAGACUGCAUUAAGAAUCUAUUGAUAUUCCACUGACCUAGUGGCAUACAAGCCAGACAAGCUUUGUCAAGGGCAAAUGCCCUAGAGUCUGAAAAUUCAUCUCUUAAAGUAGCAGUAAAGAAAAAUAUUUCUUCAACGUCUAGAAUAUUUGUGGAAGUUUGCGCUUUCUUGAUUUUAUAUAUAUAAUGGUAGUAUACAGCACUAGACCCAGACACAGGAACAGAGUUGGAGAUUUCAGAUGGUCAUUAGCCUCUUCCAGUUUUGCUAAUCAAUUAUUGCCACUGAUUUUAAUUAGGAUGUUCUCUUCAGAGACAUUAUGUAGGCUUUUGCCCAGUUUAUUUUUUCUUAUUGUAAAAUCAUCAGAAAGGUAAACUAUCCAUAACAGAAUAUGAUCUAAGACUCCCUUUUGUGAGAGAUGGGUGCAGAGGCUGU